UUCGCUAUAGUCUAGGCGGUCAGGAUACAGGAUUCUCAUGUGGGACCCGCACCGGGGCCCAGUGGCAUGCUCCUGAGACCCGGGUUCGAGUCCCGGUAGCGAAA
rfam:Chlamydomonas reinhardtii strain CC-503 cw92 mt+ CHLREscaffold_35 genomic scaffold, whole genome shotgun sequence.